AUUGAACGCUGGCGGCAGGCUUAACACAUGCAAGUCGAGCGGGGUGAUGGUGCUUGCACUAUCACUUAGCGGCGGACGGGUGAGUAAUGCUUAGGAAUCUGCCUAUUAGUGGGGGACAACAUCUCGAAAGGGAUGCUAAUACCGCAUACGUCCUACGGGAGAAAGCAGGGGAUCACUUGUGACCUUGCGCUAAUAGAUGAGCCUAAGGCGGAUUAGCUAGUUGGUGGGGUAAAGGCCUACCAAGGCGACGAUCUGUAGCGGGUCUGAGAGGAUGAUCCGCCCAACUGGGACUGAGACACGGCCCAGACUCCUACGGGAGGCAGCAGUGGGGAAUAUUGGACAAUGGGGGGAACCCUGAUCCAGCCAUGCCGCGUGUGUGAAGAAGGCCUUAUGGUUGUAAAGCACUUUAAGCGAGGAGGAGGCUCUUUUGGUUAAUACCCAAGAUGAGUGGACGUUACUCGCAGAAUAAGCACCGGCUAACUCUGUGCCAGCAGCCGCGGUAA
rnacentral:rRNA from 1 species